AGGCCGAGGCGAUCCGCGAGGUUGGGGCGGGGCUGCAGGUCUCGCCGAACGGGGCGCGCGUGCUGCGCGCGCUCGGCCUU
rnacentral:tRNA from 1 species